rnacentral:rRNA from 3 species
UCUCCUGGAAAACGGGUGGUAAUGCCGGAUGCUCCAGUUGAUCGCAUGGUCUUCUGGGAAAGCUUUCGCGGUAUGGGAUGGGGUCGCGUCCUAUCAGCUUGACGGCGGGGUAACGGCCCACCGUGGCUUCGACGGGUAGCCGGCCUGAGAGGGCGACCGGCCACAUUGGGACUGAGAUACGGCCCAGACUCCUACGGGAGGCAGCAGUGGGGAAUAUUGCACAAUGGGCGCAAGCCUGAUGCAGCGACGCCGCGUGAGGGAUGGAGGCCUUCGGGUUGUAAACCUCUUUUAUCGGGGAGCAAGCGAGAGUGAGUUUACCCGUUGAAUAAGCACCGGCUAACUACGUGCCAGCAGCCGCGGUAAUACGUAGGGUGCAAGCGUUAUCCGGAAUUAUUGGGCGUAAAGGGCUCGUAGGCGGUUCGUCGCGUCCGGUGUGAAAGUCCAUCGCUUAACGGUGGAUCCGCGCCGGGUACGGGCGGGCUUGAGUGCGGUAGGGGAGACUGGAAUUCCCGGUGUAACGGUGGAAUGUGUAGAUAUCGG